rnacentral:lncRNA from 1 species
CUAUAGAGCCCCAGGGGGAGUUUCCUCAGCCCUGGAAUUCAGGACACUUUCCUGCUUUUAUGAUACUGUCUUCACCCUCUGCAUACCAACCCCUCCCCAAUACAAAUUGGUGGCAAGUAGGUGGAGGAAGGAGGGUCCACUGGAGAACCCCCCCUUACCACCCAGCCCAGGAGCAAACAAUUUCUCCCCAGGGCUCAGAAGCUGCCUGUGAGCUUCUUGUUUGGGGCUCACACUGAGUUCCCCCUGUCCUUUAUUUGAGAUGAGUGACUCGUGACACCACAACUGCUGAAUCUACAGCCUCCAAAACCAUGCUGGGGUCCAAUCUCUAGCCCGGGCAGGAGGCAUUCUGCUGGUGCAUCUCAGUGUGCCCCCACGCUGUCCCGGGAAACAAACAGCAAAACAAGCAGAACAUGCCCACCCCAGAUGGGGAGUUAUGAAGCCUGACACCCAUCCAAAGCUCCUGCAGCUAGAUGUGGCUCUUGGCUCUGAUCCUGACCCCUCCUGGGGGCCUCAAUGGAUUCUGACCCAUGGAUUUGUUCCUGAGGGAAGAAUGCAUGUUGCAUUUUGCCAAGUUGCUCUCAGCUUUUUCCUGCCUGUAUGCCAUCUUUCUGCAAACUACCAGCGCUGGCCGCCUCGCACAGCGAUAAUCAGCCUGUCAGUCAAUAAACUGAAGAUGUUGGUGGUGUGCUGGGGUUGGUGGCCAGCAGUGAGAGCCCUGAGAGUUAUAAAUUCAAGAUGAGAAUUGAGAUGUUGCCAAGGCUUCACAGAGUCCCUGAUUUACUAGGAAAUUGUUCCCUAGCCUUGACUGCUGGCCCUGUUAUGCAAGGGACUUUGUGUGGGCUGGGGGGAUGGUUGAAGGAAAGACAAAAAAUAAAAGACCAGAAGCCAGUGUUUAGGCACAGUGGAUAGGACAUUCCCUACCCCACUGCAUUUGGUCACCUAUGGUCUGCUAUUUAACCUGUCUUAACCAUGUUCUGAUUUGCAUGUGCUUGCUUACUUUCUCCAACUAUUUUACAGACCCCUUGAAGGCAGACACUGGCUCAUAUUUCUGGUGUCUUCCUCCCCCACCCCAUUCUAGGCCUCUAGCACCACGCUGGGCUCAUGGGAAAGCCGAUUGAUUAACUGGCUGAAUGUGGAGGAGGAGGGGUUAAUUAAUCCUAGAAAGAAGGCCUCCCAGAGAAGUCCUCCAUGCCUGCUCCCUGAGGACCAUGAACCUCCCCUAGUCACCCUCUGCCAGCCCAGGCCCUCCUGAGCCUGGUUCUGACACUGUGGGCUCUAGACUGGGCCUUCCUCCUUCAGCCUCUGGGGACAGGUUGCUGGCCUGCAGUUCUGAAUAUUUCAGUUGGCUCCAUGCGUAGGGCCUGCUCCAAGGCCAAUCUGAAUGAAUUUGGCCACCUCCCUGUUUUACAAGUCCCGUUCCUAAACUGGAGCCUACAAACAUCUCCCUGCCUUCCUGCACAACGUGUGGCUCUGUUCCCUCAGAGAGAAAACAGUCUGAACCGUCCUGAGCCCAUUUCCUUUCCAGGUUUUGCUAGUCUCUUCUCUCGUUGAGGAAGGAUGUGCUGGGCCCCAGCCCUGGGUGUGCAUGGGGCAGCAACCUGGGCAGCAGUUAGAGAACAGCAAAGGAGGGUCUCCACUCUCCUGAAGCUCCCAGCCCACUGCGGGGACCAGAACAUAAGGAUCAUUGCGAAACCCGUCGAGGCCAUGUUUGCUUGAUAAGCACCACAUGUGUGGAGAGAGAGCUCAUCCCAGCCCAGCUUUGGCUCUCCUGGGUGGGCUGGGGUCUGGGGGGAACCCACAGAAAAAAUGGGAAGAGAAUGCUUCCAAGAGCAUGGAGAGCCAGCUCAGCUACUCACCAGCUGUGUGACUUUGGGCAAAUUACCUAACAUCUCAGGAGUUAGGUUCUUUAUCCACACACCAAGAUUCCCUGAUAUUCUAGGAUUCUGAUGGGGCAUGGCACAGAGCUGCAGCCUUGUUGCUACAAGGCUUUGAGAACUCACUGAGCUUGAGGCAGAGGUCCAGACCAGCAGGGAGGGGCCUGGGGCCUGUGAUCCUAAGCACAGCUUCUCAUGACUGCUAGGUGAGAGGGGUCACACCUGAGAGACUAUGGGGCCAGAACCGAAUCCUUGAGUCUGGAGAUCAGGUGCCUCAGGCCUGGGCUUCAACGCACCCCUGUCCCUGCUUCCCUGGGUCCAUGGCUGCAGUGAGCAAGAAAAAAAGAACCCUAGAUGGGGGGCGGGGCAGAAGCCACAUCAGCACCAACCAGGGCAAACAAAGAUGAACUGUCUUCUAGGCUUGAGGUUGUUCAUUUGCAAACAACAGUAUUUGAGUUGCCACUGUUCCCCGCCUGCCAGGCCAACAGAGGCUGUCUGUGCG